rnacentral:other from 2 species
UCAAAUCUGUGAUGUGCGUAUUGUCUUUUUCUGUGUUGACCGAACAUUUUAUUGAUACUUUGGGAUCUGACUUGUACCAAAGCCGGUAACAUGCCUUUUCACUUGGUAGUUCGAAGCUGAGGUCGUUGAGCCCACCUGCUAAUUUGCGGGAUCAAUACAACAAGACGAACAACGGCACCGACGGAUUUGUG